GUUUAUCAACAACCCAACUGAUUUUGCCUGAUGAAAGGCCAUGUGCUUCACAGAGUAUUCCAUUAUUGCCUAAGGGUAGAAUGGGGGCUUGAAUCCCUGUAUUAGAACACAAUAACACUUCAUUGGCAUACAGUUUGGCUGUUAAUCACAUCCCCCCACUUAUUACACAUAUUAUGUAAAUCACCUCUGUGGCGGAACCAACCUCGCCACUAUGCACUGGAGAAGCCUGGUUGCCAGCCUCCUGCCAUGUGACUAUGGCCCCUGGGAUGUAUUGCCCUUUAAAGACAUGAUUUGGGCAUAAUGGAUUUGUGUUGUGCUGCUACUAGCCCUUUUAAGAACAAUCUGGGGACAUACUGUGGAGUUACUGGGUGGCCACCCUUUCCUGUAUCAGAAGCACAUGGUGAGAACAAUGGAUGGCGGCCAUUUUAACUCACAGACACUGUGUGGAAUUUUCAACACGGUGCCAUCUUGCCAGUAUUUGUUGCACAGAGACAUCGUGCGGUGG